GUGCCAGAAACAAGACAAUAUAAUCUUGAAUCUGAAAAGCUGAAUUCCUUAUUUUUUUUCUUUUUCUUUUUCCUUGUAAGUCGUGUGGCAGGAGACCCUUAACAUCUAAUCAAGAGCCAGGAACUGAGGACUUGAUGAAAUAACGGUGUCAUGAUGACAUGUAAAAGCCGAAAAAUUUUCAUUCUUGGGCCUUCCCAUCACGUGCCCCUCUCCCGAUGUGCACUUUCCAGUGUGGACAUUUACAGAACACCUCUGUAUGAUCUUCGAAUUGACCAAAAGAUUUAUGGAGAAUUGUGGAAGACUGGAAUGUUUGAGCGCAUGUCCCUA